rnacentral:piRNA from 1 species
UGCUUACUCUCUUAGCAGAAAACCCUACCUC